GCGACCCCAGGUCAGGCGGGACCACCCGCUGAAUUUAA
rnacentral:rRNA from 1 species